ACAAGCAAUCGAUAUUUCACGAUCAAAGGUGUAGUACUGCUUGUAGUAGCGGUCCUUCUAUUUCAUAUUAACAAUCAAAAUAUGAUCGAAAGAAAAAAUCUCCAUUUGAUGGGGCUUCUUCCUAUACCUAUGAAUUCCAUUGGACCCAGAAAUGAUACAUUGGAAGAAUCUUUUGGGUCUUCCAAUAUCAAUAGAUGCUCAUGUGGUGUACAA